AUUGAACGCUGGCGGCAGGCCUAACACAUGCAAGUCGAACGAGUGGCGGACGGGUGAGUAAUGUCUGGGAAACUGCCCGAUGGAGGGGGAUAACUACUGGAAACGGUAGCUAAUACCGCAUACCAUCGGAUGUGCCCAGAGGGGAUUAGCUUGUAGGUGAGGUAACGGCUCACCUAGGCGACGCUCCCUAGCUGGUCUGAGAGGAUGACCAGCCACAAUGGAACAGAGACACGGGCCGUGCUCCUACGGGAGGCAUCAGGGGGGAAUAGUGCACAAUGGGCGGAGGCCGGAUGCAGCCAGGCGGCGUGUAUGAAGAAGGCCUUCGGGUUGUAAAGUACUUUCAGCGGGGAGGCGUUACCCGCAGAAGAAGCACCGGCUAACUCCGUGCCAGCAGCCGCGGUAAUAC
rnacentral:rRNA from 1 species